rnacentral:rRNA from 1 species
UACAGAGGGUGCAAGCGUUAAUCGGAAUUACUGGGCGUAAAGCGUGCGCAGGCGGUUAUGCAAGACAGAUGUGAAAUCCCCGGGCUUAACCUGGGAACUGCAUUUGUGACUGCAUAGCUGGAGUACGGCAGAGGGGGAUGGAAUUCCGCGUGUAGCAGUGAAAUGCGUAGAUAUGCGGAGGAACACCGAUGGCGAAGGCAGUCCCCUGGGCCUGUACUGACGCUGAGGUGCGAAAGCGUGGGGAGCAAACAGG